AAAUGAAGAGAGGGAGAGAGGGAAGGAGGGAGAGAAGGGAAGGAAGGAAAUCAGGCAGUGAGAGAGACAUUGCCGACCUGGAUCUAGAGGUCUACAAGUUGAUUUCUUUUUUUCUUUUUUUGAGAGAAGGAAAGAAAAAAAAGGAGUGAAUGAGAGGAAGAAAGAGGAAGAAAAAGAGGGAGAGAGAACGGAAAUGUUGCUUUAUUCUAAAAAAAUGGGUAUUAAUAAUGGCCAAUCAAUAUUUCAUUUAAACCUAUGAGUAGGUGUGAUGUGAUAUUGACAAGAAUGUAUAUUUUGUGUAUUUAAAGUGGAGAGCUCUAUAAAUAUUUAUUGUUUACUUGUUCCAGAUCUGAGUUCAAGUCCUUGAUAUCCUUGUUAAUUUUCUGUCUGAUUGAGUCUAAGUCUCUAUGUAUCUGGGUGUUAGGAUCAUUAGCUCUUGUUGCAUUGAUCCUUUUACCACUAUAUCUUUGUUGCUUUAAAAUCUAUUUUAUCAGAUAUGAGAAUUGCAACUCCUGCUUUUUAUUUAUUUAUUUAUUUAUUUAUUUAUUUUUGCUCUCCAUUUGGUUGGUAAAUCUUUCUCCAUCCCUUUGUUUUGAGUCUUUGUGUAUCUUUGGAUGUGAAAUGGGUCUGGAUGUAGCAUACCAUUAGGUUUUGGCUGUAGUUUUUGAUUGGGGGAUUUAGUCGACUUAAAUUUAGGGUUACUGCCAUUUGAUGUUAACUGGCUAUUUUAUCCAUUUGUUGAUGUAAAUUCUUUAUGUUGAUGCUUUUUACUUUUUGGUAUAUUUUUAGAAAGGCUAAUACUGGUUGUUUCUUUCUAUGUGUAACGCUUCUUUCAGAAGCUCUUGUAAAGCAGGCCUGGUGGUAAUAAAAUCUCUGAGUACUUUCUUGUUCAUAAAAGAUUUUAUUUUUCCUUCAGUUGUGAAGCUUAGUUUGGCUGGAUAUGAAAUUCGGGGCUGAAAGCUCCGUUCUUUAAGGAUGUUAAAUAUUGGCCCCCACUCUCUUCUGGCUUGUAGAGUUUUUGCUGAGAGAUCUGCUGUAAGUUGGGAGGCUUUUUAAUAUUGAAGGAUGGGAUUGGUCCUGACAUAUAGUUUUAGAAAUACUAGCAGAGGGCUAGAGAAAGCACCUUCUAUAGAGUAAUCAUGCCUUAUGUAAACAGUCUGUGAGACUGGUGUCCAGAGAAGACCAGGAUAUAACAUGAAUGAGGAAUAGGUGCCUGGGGAGAGGGUAAGGAUGCAGAGAAACCGUCAACAUUCUAUAGACUAUAUUUUAAUAAGUAGGUUAAAAAUCCCACCAAUCGCCCGCCAGACUUCAUCGCCGUGGAGAGCCGGCCUCUGGGAGCCCGCCGCCAUGGGAACCUGGUGAGCGUCCAGCUGGAGGGGCAACAGCGCGGUCGAGGAUGGAGGGGUCGGCGGAGCGGGGCCCGGAGGCGGACCCGGGCCUUGAGGCGACCCUGGGCCCCGAGACUGUGCUGCGCUUCCUGGGGAGCGCGGGGGCCGGGCCCACGCCGAGCUGGUGCAGCACUUCAAGGACGCCGUAGGCGGCGAGCCCGGGCGCGCUUCAAGGAGCUGGUGAACGCCGUGGCAUUGGUGCGCGUGGAUCCCGCAGACGGCGCCAAGUACUUACACCUCAAGAAGAGGUUCUGUGCGGGGCCGCCCGCGCCAGCUGGGGAGCCGCCACGAAUCCAGGUGACCGCCGAGCCUGAGGCCCCAGACAGCCCGGCCUGGCCCGAGGUGCGCGAUCCGCUCCCCAACGCAGCGAUCCCGGAGGCGCACCCCGGACGGGGCCUCCAGCCUGGCGAUGGGAGCCCCCUGCUGCUGGCCCCCGCACAGGCCGCCCUUAGCGCCGGGGCUCCCUGGAAAAACUCGCGGCGACGUGCAGCUCCUACCCCGGACUCCGGCCCGGGGGGCGGCGAGGACCUGGAGCCCCCGCCCCAUGGCUGCGAGGAGGCGGACAGGGGCAGCUCUCUUGGGAGGGGCAUCGCGCCGAGGCCGGCCCGCCAGAAUUUCCGCGACCUGGUGAUGUGCAGCUCCCCGCAGCUGAAGAGGAGCGUGAGUCCCGGGGGCAGCAGCCCGGGCAGCUCCUCCGGGGGAGGACGCAGCAGAGGCGGGGGUGACUCAGACAGAGCAUCGGUGGCCUCGUCCGUGGAGGAGGAGAGAAGUGGCGGGGACUCCGUGACCCUAGACCCCCUGGAGCACGCCUGGAUGCUUUCUGCCUCCGAUGGCAAGUGGGACAGCCUGGAGGGCUUGCUCACCUGUGAUCCCGGCCUGCUGUUCAAACGGGACUUCAUUACCGGCUUCACCUGCCUGCAUUGGGCGGCCAAGCACGGAAGGCAGGAGCCUCUGGCCAUGUUAGUUAACUUCGCCAACAAGCACCAGCUGCCCGUGAACAUCAACGCCAGGACGAGCAGAGGUUACACCGCCCUGCACUUGGCAGCCGUACACGGGAACAUAGAGGUGGUGACGCUGCUGGUGGGGACCUGUGAAGCCGAUGAGGAAAUCAGGGACUGCAGUGGGAAAAAGGCCUCCCAGUACCCGAGUCAGAGCAUUGCGGAGGAGAUCGAGAACCUGGUGGAGCUCUGGACCAGGAAGAUGGGGAAAGCGCUGCUAGCAGCGGUGGUGGGUGCUGGAAGCUUUCAAAGGUGCUUCCCUCGCACCUCAUCACACACAAAUUCUCACACCCCUUAGAAGAUGGAGGAGACCGUUACCACCACCACCACCAUCACCACUCGGCUGACGGGUGGGUCGGAGGCAAAGCCAAGGAUCCAGGGCGCAAAGCCAAGGAUCCAGGGUGGCUCCAGUGGACGUAUAAAACCCAGGCUCAACAAAAUCCGCUUCAGAACCCAGGCUGUCCACACCACACACCGUUUCAGGGACCCAGAACAGCCACUGGAGGAUGUCGAGGAUGAGGAGGAAGUAGAGGAGGAACGAUCUGUUAAAGGCCGCUCUUCCUCCUUCAUAUUGAGACCAAAGUCCAAUGUAUUUGGGUAAAAAUGGUUUCUUUUUUUUAUAGAUUAAUAUUUUUAAUUACACAAUUAAUAAUCACUAUGAAAAAUAUGGAUCACCGCAAUCCCACCAACAACUGAACAUUUUUCUUAGCUUUUAAAUUCUUUUUAUUUUAUUUUAUUUUUUUAUUGGAUUUUAGGUUUUGGGGUACAUGAGCAGAGCAUGCAAGACAGUUGCGUAGGUACGCACAUGGCAGUGUGCUUUGCUUUGCUUCUCCCCUUCACCCACAUUUGGCAUUUCUCCCCAGGCUAUCCCUCCCCACCUCCCCCUCCCACUGGCCCUCCCCUUUUCCCCCCAAUAGACCCCAGUGUUUAGAAAAUGCAAAGAUUUAUUUGUCUUCAGACAUUCAGUAGUAGGUGUUUUAAGUAAAUGAGACCAGAAAGACAAGGUAAAUUAUUCAUUCUUGAGGGAUUGGAAUGGAUGGGGCGGAGUUCCCUUCAAGCUAGCCUUCUGGGGAAAGUGAAUUUCUUUUUAAGAGAUAUUAUCCCUUGACCUGUGCCUCUUCUCUGCCCUGGAGUCAGUUUCUGGAGACUAGAAAUGGACCUAAUUUGGGGGAACAGAAUCAAUGAAUGGGAGUUCCUUUACUUUAGCCAUUCCUGGAUGCCUGCACAGUAAGGAACUGUGCACUUUAAUGUAUCUGAUUUUAUAAGGGGUUACUCUUUCAAGAGCAACAACAACAACAACAAAACAAAAACGCAAAUUGUAAUGAAACUGGUAGUAUUUGUAAGUUUGAAAACAACAUACUGCCCCGUUUUUUUACUAAUUUGCAUUUUAAGUUACUGCUGAAGGUUAGAUCAGAGUUGAAAUGCAAAAAUACCAAUUAGAGAAUACUGUGAAUGAAAUGAGAACCCCUUAGUAUUCUAUGUGUAUUGUAAGUAACAGUUCAAUUAUUUUUUAAAAGCAAUUUCAGUUUUAAUCACUGAACUAAAGAAACUGGCAACAUUCACUUACGUGGUAUGGUUUCCACCGAACUAUCUCUAACCCACUAUUAAGGUACACCAGUGUUCAGGUACACUAAUAACCACACAAAAUUUUAUUUAAGGAAGAUAGUACUUAGCAAACUAUGGUACUUUAAAUAAAAUGUUGCCUCUUGUUCUCAUUCUCACUAACGUGUUACUAUUCAAAAAGUUUGAAUUUGCUGGGGUUUUUAUUUUGACGAUCAUAUAACCGUUCUUCUAUUUGGCAUAACCCUAUUUAAGGGCACUUAGAGCUGAAUUACCUACAGAAACUAUUUCUGGUUUAAAUAAUUAGCAUGAAUUGGCCUAAGUAUUAGUGAGCCCCUGUUUCUGUGAAGUAAUUAUUAAACAAUUUAAUGAUUCUCACAUAAGAUAUACUUUAAUACAUUGGUAGUCUUUAUGACUUGUAGCAAUGUUGCAAAUGUUUAAAAUGCUGAACUUAAUUUUCCAACCUUUUCUUGACAAUUAGAUACCUGUCCUGUAGUUACUGAAAAUCUGGGUAGGAAAUCUACCCAGUUAAAAUGACACUUUAUAAAAGGGAAUAGAGAAGAGAUGGGACUAUUUCUGUAUUUAAAUGCUGCUGGCUAUUAAAUUCCUUUGUAUGUAAAUGAAAAAUGCCAUUAAUUAAAGACUUGUUUAAGUGUGGUUCUUAAUUAUAUUUCCUUCAUUUAUAUUAGAGUAAAUGGCUUCAUAAUUACUUUAAAAUUUAACCCACAAGCAUAUUAAAUCUGUUUGUUUAAGAUUAGAAAUAAUUUUUGAGAGGGGCUAAUUUAAACACGUCCUCCUUUAGUCUUUGGGUCAUGUAAUUGCAGAAACCUAAGUACCUACAGCCUACAGGAUAAGGGAGUUCACAGCCUGCAGGAUGAACACAUGUGUGAAUUGCACAGAGCAAUUCAUAGAAAUUUAUAACCAGUUUGUAACAUCUCUGUCUAGAUGGUCAUUGAAUUUGUUUAAAGAUUGAUGAAAGGCCCGGUGUGAUGUCUCACACCUGUAAUCCCAGCACUUUCAGGGACUGAGGCAGGUAGAUCACUUGAGUCCAGAAGUUCAAGACCAGUCUGGCUAACAUGGCGAAAACCUAUCUCUACUAAAAAUACAAAAAUUAGCCAGGUGUGGUAGUGCACACCUGUAGUCCCUGCUACUCAGGAGGCGGAGGCAUGAGAAUCACUAAAACACAAGAAGUGGAGGUUACAAUAAGCCAAGAUCAUGUUCACUGCACCCCACCCCUGAGCAACAGUGAGACUCUUGUCUCAAAAAAAUAAUAAUAAAUGAAAAUACAAAAUAUAUAAACUAUCAGUUUAUGUGCCUUUUGUAGGAUUUUGGAUAUGAACUGAAAUGUGUACAUUUGAGACACACUUUUAUGCAUAUACAUGGGUGAAAAACCUAUCUAAUUUUGUAUAAAUAGGCUGCUGGAAGGUAAAAAGCAGUCAUUAUUCUAAAUCUAUACAUUCUGCCUGUAUCUAGUGCAGAAAAAGCUAUAACGUCCCGUUGAGGAAUCUUAAAUUUCAUAGACAUGUAAAGCUAAAGUAGCUCUAAAGAAUAGAUGCUUAAUUGGCUGGUGACGGUGGCUCAUGCCUGUAAUCUUAGCACUUUGGGAGGCCGAAGUGGGCAAAUCACCUGAGGUCGGGAGUUCAAGAUUAGCCUGACCGACCAACAUGGAGAAAUCCCGUCUCUACUAAAAAUACAAAAUUAGCCCUGCGUGGUGGCACGUGCCUGUAAUUCCAGCUACUCCAGAGCCUGAGGCAGGAGAAUUGCUUGAAGCUGGGAGGCAGAGGUUGCGGUGAGCUGAGAUCCUGCCAUUGUGCUCCAGCCUGGGCACCAACAGCAAAACUCCAUCUCAAAACAACAACAACAAAAGAAUAGGUGCUUCAGAACCACCAGAAGGUUCUGGUGGACAGUCAGUAUUAAUCUCUUAAAUGUAUAUGUUGGUCACUAAUUACACAAAUUUGAUAAUUUGCUAGGUCUUUAGAGAUUGAGUCAAUAUGUCUUACCAUGGUUUCCCCCCAAAGGCUUUAACUUUUCUGAUAAAACAAUAUUUAAAAAUUUCAAAAACCCAUUCCUGAGGGGAUCUACUUCUAGCAUUCCUGUCAUGAUGUGCUUGUGUACAGUAAGUAGCAUUUUUGGUUACUUAACUCUAUAUUCCUCUUAUUUUUCAGUUUUCAGUUCAAUUAUAAAAAGCAAACGAUUGAUAUAAUUUGAUGUUCAUAGAGUUGUGUUUACCUUUAAUGGAAAAAUAUAUGUCGGAUACUUAGAUGUUUAUUGAUAUGAGACUAUAUGGUUAAAAAAACUCAAGUAUGUCCAUAUGUUUCUUACAAGGUACACUUGAAACUAGUGAGUGUCACAUUUCUCUUUACUUUCAUGGUAUGUAAAAUGCAGCUCAAUUAUAUAACAUGAAUAUCUGGUACUAGUAUUUUCAUGCCUGAGAUUUUGGAGUCUAGGUUGCCUUGUCUAUUGUUUUUUAAAUAAGUGCUAUUUGGGAGAUUGUAAAAUCUGUAAAGUUUGUUUUGUCAAAACAAAAUGUUCACAGUA